rnacentral:tRNA from 1 species
CCUGGGUUGGUCCAGUGGCUAGGACUCUGCACUCCCAAUGGAGAGGGCCCAGGUUCGAUCCCUGGUCAGGG